rnacentral:rRNA from 1 species
GCCGGUUCUAUCUAAAGUCGUUAGUCUAACCGCAAGGAGGGCGUCUACCACGGUAUGGUCCAUGACUGGGGUGAAGUCGUAACAAGGUUUCCGUAGGUGAACCUGCAGAAGGAUCA